GACGAACGCUGGCGGCGUGCUUAACACAUGCAAGUCGAACGGAAAGGCCCCUUUGGGGGUACUCGAGUGGCGAACGGGUGAGUAACACGUGAGUAACCUUCCCUUGACUUCGGGAUAACUUCAGGAAACUGGGGCUAAUACCGGAUAGGAAUCCUUGCUGCAUGGUGGGGGUUGGAAAGCUUCGGCGGUUUUGGAUGGACUCGCGGCUUAUCAGCUUGUUGGUGGGGUAGUGGCUUACCAAGGCUUUGACGGGUAGCCGGCCUGAGAGGGCGACCGGCCACCUUGGGACUGAGAGACGGCCCAGACUCCUACGGGAGGCAGCAGUGGGGAAUAUUGCACAAUGGGCGGAAGCCUGAUGCAGCAACGCCGCGUGCGGGAUGACGGCCUUCGGGUUGUAAACCGCUUUCAGCAGGGGCGAAGCUUGUGGUGACGGUACCUGCAGAAGAAGCACCGGCUAACUACGUG
rnacentral:rRNA from 1 species